CCUACGGGAGGCAGCAGUGAGGAAUAUUGGUCAAUGGACGGAAGUCUGAACCAGCCAUGCCGCGUGCAGGAAGACGGCUCUAUGAGUUGUAAACUGCUUUUGUACAAGGGUAAACCUGAAUACGUGUAUUCAGCUGAAAGUACUGUACGAAUAAGGAUCGGCUAACUCCGUGCCAGCAGCCGCGGUAAUACGGAGGAUCCAAGCGUUAUCCGGAUUUAUUGGGUUUAAAGGGUGCGUAGGCGGGUUUAUAAGUUAGAGGGGAAAUGUGCGAGGUUAACUCGGGAACUGCCUCUAAUACUGUUGAUCUAGAGAGUAGGUGCGGUAGGCGGAAUGUAUGGUGUAGCGGUGAAAUGCUUAGAGAUCAUACAGAACACCGAUUGCGAAGGCAGCUUACCAAUCUAUAUCUGACGUUGAGGCACGAAAGCGUGGGGAGCAAACAGGAUUAGAUACCCUUGUAGUC
rnacentral:rRNA from 1 species